rnacentral:lncRNA from 1 species
GAGUCUGUAACCUGAAGCGUAUGUAACCCGAGGUACCACUGUACUGCUCUCUUGUACACCUCUGAGCAGCAGCAGGACAGGCAUAGAUUUUAGACGGGAUGCUUUUCCGCUACCAAUGCACCAACGUGCUAGGUAAGAGCAUUGCCAAAGAGUGUUGUACUGCACUUAUAUUGGAAAAAGUCAAUGGGCACAAACGGGCACACCUCACUGAGCAUCUGACCAUGAAAAGGGACUGAUGAUCACCCUCUUCCUGCCCAGUUAAGGUCCACAGUGUGGCCUGCCACAUGCAUUGGGCCAAUGACAUGUUGGGGCAGCCCCAUGGUUGUCAUGGCAGCAAUGAAGCCCUGAUAAUAUGGGAGUUCUAAAGCAGGACCGAAAUUAGGCUUUCUGUCAAUCGGGUCAAAGAUCCAGUUUGGUACCUCACCCCCCCAUACAUGUUUGCGUACCCACACAUACAUACAUGCAUGCAAACAAACAAAUAAACAAAUAAAUAAACAAACACACCCACCCCCCAACACAUUUAUCUGUAAAGAGCAUAAAAAGUAGUCAAUAUGUCAUUUUAAUACAAAGGAAUCCUAAGAAGUAUUAUGACUGUAUGACCAAAGGGAAAAUGAGCAAUCCCCUCCAGUAAAAGCAAAUUGUUUGUCAAGAGUAGAACUUCCAUGUGCAUCAAUUGUUUAUUUGAGGUCAGGUUUUGAAUUGGAUUUAUUUGGUCUCAGGAUCAUUAAAAGACAGCAUUUCUAUAAGAUCACCCAAGGCCCUCUGGUUUCCUUUUUUCCUUUUUCUCUUUGAGGCUUUUUGUCACCCACCCCCUUCUUGGUUCUGAGAGAACCUUUUCAAUGACUUUUGAUGUGUAAAUUUACUCCUGAGUAAGCUCCUGCCAACCUAGCAGUUCGAAAGCCCGUCAGAGUGCAAGUAGAUAAAUAGGUACUGCUCCAGCGGGAAGGUAAACGGCGUUUCCGUGCGCUGCUCUGGUUCGCCAGAAGCGGCUUAGUCAUGCUGGCCACAUGACCCGGAAGCUGUACACCGGCUCCCUCGGCCAAUAAAGCGAGAUGAGCGCCGCAACCCCAGAGUUGGCCAUGACUGGACCUAACGGUGAAGGGUCCCUUUACCUUUAAGCUUCAACAAGAUUCCUUUCAAUUUUGUUUUUGUUUGAUUACUCACUUUAAGAAAUGAUAAUUUUAUAGCAAUUUUAGGCUCCAUGUAAGGUGAAAAAAUGCUUUUUACGAGUUUAAAGUAGAAAGUGCCCUUUCAUUACAAUCUCAAUGCAGUAGCAAAUCCACAGGGAGUCUUUUGCUUCAUGGGGGAGAGCCAUGCAACCUCUCCAGAUUUUCCAACUCUCCCUCUCCCUGCAUCAUGUUGUAAAUGAGCCUUUUUCAGCUUCUUAGGGGAAGGAAGAUGCUAGUGGCUGCCUUCACUUUUUCAUCUUUUUCUCCAGCUGAAGCCCUGGGAGGCUGGGAGCCUCAAUGGUGCCCCUCUGGAGGCUUCACCUGGGGCAGAAACUCUGCCUAAACACCACCUCUUGAGGUCAGUUCUGUCAGCUCAGGCAGGGAGACUGCUGGGCAGUGAGGCAGGCAGUAAAUCAGUGAAAUCCCUAACCUGUCCUAAUUGCCCAGUGCCAGGAACACACACACUAGAUCCCCGCAACUGGGUAAAGAACCUGGAGAGAGAGAACCUGGAGGGGUGGGAAGAGAAUUUCUGUAGAUCACAGUAGCUUCCCCUCCCCAACCCUCGGUUCUGGCCUGAUGCUGCACCAAGUAUGCAGAUGAGCACAGCUGGAUGAGACAAACUCCUCCCUGCUCACCCAUCCAGGUCUCAGUGAUACAGGACAAGAUGGUAGAGGAGGGAUAGGCCUGCGGGGAUGCUGGGUGGAGAUUGGUCCCAUCGGUUGCCAGGGGAAGACUGACUUGAAACUGUGAUGUUUCUGAACCGUGUGGAAUUUGGGAUAUCAAGAGGCCUCCGUGGCUAGCAGUGCUUUUAACAGUUUUAGCUGGUACUCCAGCUAUGACCAUUCCUGGCCUGGUAUAACCUGAUGAUAGUGGUCCAUGCACUGGUAACCUCAAGACUUUAUAACUGUGACACACUCUAUGUGGAGUGUCUUUGCAUCUGGUCAGAAGCUGCAAGCAGUGCAGAAUUGAGAAGCCAGAUUGUACACAGGAACAGGCUACUGGCAACAUAGAAUCAUAGAAUUGUGGAGUUGGGUCAGCUGGUUCAACCCCCUGCAAUGCAGGAAUCUUUUACUCUUGUUGAAAGAGUUUCACCGGUUGCCAGUUUGCUACUGGAAUGUUUGUACAUAUUUCAACUAUUUUAUUGUACUGUAGUAGAAUUCUGAUUUUUAUUUUUUAUUUUUGCACACACACCAUAUAUUUCGGUUACAUAGUUUGUUGUUAAGGAUUAUUUGUGUCUUGGUUGUUUGCAUAUCUGUUGUUCUGUCAGCCUAGUUGUUUCCUGCUGUUGGUGGAUCUUCAGUAUAGGAUUGCACUCUACAUUAUAGAGCAAUCACAAACCAUGUCUCCUCAGAAGUUUUCUUCUUGAUUGAAUGCUAUGCAGUCUUAACCAUACCUUCUCUACUGAAUUGAGACUUAAGUGGGGUUGGGCUUGCAGCCUUAGGUACUACAAAAACAUAUUCUGAUUUUCUGAACUCAUGUAGCAAAUCAUACAGAUCUGUAAGUAACAAACUUGUCCAGGUUUAACAAAAAAUGAAUAAAACUAUUGAUCCCCCAAACAGAUAUUGGUAAUAAUAUUGACAGCAAUAUUAUUGCACCGUAUGUUUACCCGAAGAUGCAUUCAUAAUAUUUAUUUUCUUUCUCUUUUAAAUUUUAAUUUGAUUGAACACUUUUCAGAUACUUCAACACUGUAAAACCAGCAUAUAAUUAAAAUAAAGCACACAGAAAAUGAAAUACCGUACCUGCUACUUUGCGUUUUCUAAAACUUACUUCCGAUUCAGUAUCGAAUAUAUUUCUUCCCACAAGGUGGUACUGUGGCACUACUGUUCUAUGAAAUCUUCCCCUUUACGUUACUAAAUUAAUUCAUUUCUGAAACCAACUUCCAGAAAUCUUCAAUAUAAAAGAGUUAAAAAAAUUAAUCACCAAGUUGGCAAGUUGUUUUUUUAAAAAGUAUUGUGUCUUGUUAGUACUUUUGUUUUUACAUUGUGAACAGUAUUUAUACAUUUUAUUACAAGAUAACUCAUUUGCAACAAUAUGUCCUUUUCGUUUUAAAAACUUGAGAGGGAUCUUCAGCCAGAUGAUUAGAAUAUUAUUAUUAUUAUUUAAAUGUGAGAAACUUUUGUUGGAAACCUGGGCUGAAAUGCUAAAACUGCUAGGUGGCAAACGGUCCAGCUGAACUAUCUAUGCCUGUUCUGAUAACAUCCUGAAUCAUAAUUGGUGCAGUGUAUGGCUCCACCCAAUAUCAUAGGUAUUAUUGGCUAUUUCAGUGGCAUAUGAAUUUGUGAGGAAGAUUUAUCUGGGUCUAAAGACUGGUUUUGGAGUAUAUUCAAGGUUUAGUUGGAAAGCCCCCCUCCCCCAUUAUUUUAAGAGCAUUUGUUGUGAUAAUUUCCUUUCUUAUACUUCAUUACAACUGUAGGAAAUAUGAUGAACACGAGUACCUAAGUACAGGUAGCAACCAUUUAGCAUGCAUCCAAUUGACAUGCGACCACCAAUGCAUGUGUUUUCAGCUCCAGAAGGGGUGAAAUGGGUGUGUGGCGGGGGUGGAACAGGUUUAUGACAUGGACAAUGACCUGGAAUGCAACCCCUGUGCAAAUGAGGAGUUGCCUGUAAAUAGAUCCAUUUAGGGUGCACUUUUUUACUCAAGUUAAGCUGGCUGGGGGGCUAGGCAACAUGGUGCCAUCUGGGUGUUGUUGGAAGCCAACUCCCAUCAGCCCCAGAAAGCAUGGUCAGUGGCCAUAGACAAUGGGAGUUCUUGCCUAGCAACUUCUGGAAGGCACCAUGUUCACUACCUCUGGAUAUGUGAAAUGGUGGAAGCCACACUGCUGGCAGAACACAAGAUACACUGCCACUAUGACACAUAUCUCAGCAGAACGGUUUGGAGAUGCCUGUAGAAAACUCUGCUAGUACAGUUGCUGUGCUGGUGAAAAUGCACCAACAAAAUGGCUAAAAUAGAGUGGAUUCCUGGGUGGGAUGGGUGUGUCAUAGGAAAGAAGGACACCUACAUCUUAUCCUGUACUCACUGAAACCAUGACUAUGCUUCUGUCAAUGGUACAUCUUUACACUACCCUCAGAUCCAAUGCAAGGAAAUUCUUCAUUGCCUUUUCCUUUUCCUUUUUACCAAUAAACACGUUUUAAUCAACUAUGCAUUUUUGUAGACAUUAGUUGUCUGGAGAACUGUGCUGCAAAAUAUGGAGAAGUGUGACUUUGAAAGGAUGGCUGUGUUUCAGAAAGUGCAAAUUAGUCAAGUUCGCCUGUAAAUGUGAAUGGUCUUGAAUUUCUCCCCCAUCCCAGAUGAAGGCGAUGGACUACAUGGAACUGGCGGAAAUGACUGGCAGAAUCCGAGACCAGGGAGAAGAGUCCGUGGAAGAAGAUUGGAAGAAAUUUAAAGAUUAUUUACAGAAAUACUGCAAAAUUAAUGAAUGUUAGAAUGAUGUCGGAAUGAAGUUAAGUGGUUUUAGCAGCAAUGUUACAAAGGAGUAUGUAAAAAUGGAUUGUUAACAGGUGAGAAUCUAAAGUUAUAAUAUAUUAAGUUAAAGGAUUAAGAUAAAAACAAAGAGGGAAAGGAUUUGCUGAAUUAACUAACUGAACUGGAAUACAAAAAAGGGAGGUGAGAGGAGGUCAGGGAAACAAGUGAACGAAAGACAAGACAUGGAAAGAUUGAUUUGUUUUUAAAUGUUUUUAUUUUUCUGUAUUUUGUAUUUUUUCUUUUCUUUUCUUUUUUCUUUUCU